UUCUUAUCCAGAGAGGUGGAGGGACUGGCCCUAAGAAACCUCAGCAACAGGUCUGACAAGACACUGUGCUAAUUCCUGCGGGUGAUGAUACCUUGAUAGAUAAGAG
rnacentral:ncRNA from 2 species